rnacentral:rRNA from 1 species
GAUGAACGCUGGCGGCGUGUCUAAUACAUGCAAGUCGAGCGAACAGACGAGGAGCUUGCUCCUCUGACGUUAGCGGCGGACGGGUGAGUAACACGUGGAUAACCUACCUAUAAGACUGGGAUAACUUCGGGAAACCGGAGCUAAUACCGGAUAAUAUAUUGAACCGCAGGGUUCAAUAGUGAAAGACGGUUUUGCUGUCACUUAUAGAUGGAUCCGCGCCGUAUUAGCUAGUUGGUAAGGUAACGGCUUACCAAGGCGACGAUGCGUAGCCGACCUGAGAGGGUGAUCGGCCACACUGGAACUGAGACACGGUCCAGACUCCUACGGGAGGCAGCAGUAGGGAAUCUUCCGCAAUGGGCGAAAGCCUGACGGAGCAACGCCGCGUGAGUGAUGAAGGUCUUCGGAUCGUAAAACUCUGUUAUUAGGGAAGAACAAAUGUGUAAGUAAAUAUGCACGUCUUGACGGUACCUAAUCAGAAAGCCACGGCUAACUACGUG